rnacentral:sRNA from 1 species
GGGCGAUCUGGCUAUAACAUCUGUCACCCCACUAAUUAUCAGGGUUGAUUAGGCUGAUCAGACUAGCUAGUCAGUUUCCCCUUCCUCCAGGUGUGUUCCUCCUAAUGCUGCAAGCUAGGUAAAAAAGAAUGACCUUUCUUGAUGGAGAACCUUUCUUCAGUAAAGCAUAUGUGAGUAGCUAUGCUCCCCUGCUAGAGCUUCCAAACAAGCUAUGACACUUUGGGAUAGGUAAUCCUUUGCUGUUGGUAGUGGUGGGGUUUCAUUCUGUGCACAGUAGGACAUGCAGUAGAACUCCUAGCUUCUGCUUACU